GGGCUGGAUUUGGGAAUUUGUGCUGGAUUAGGAAUUUGUGCUGGAUUAGGAAUUUAUGCUGUUCCUGUGCAGGGAGCAGAGACAGAUUGGGAAUUUGUGCUGGAUUGGGAAUUUGUGCUGUUCCUGUGCGGGGAACAGGGGCAGAUUGGGAAUUUGUCCUGUUCCUAUCUGUCCUCACAGUGAUCCACCCCAAAAUCCACUGGGGUUUUUUGCCCUCCUUCAAAAUCACUUCCCUGGCAAGAAAAGAGAACAAAGAUUUGCCCAGCAAUAAAAUGCUCCUAAAAUUCCUGCAGGAAUGGGGGCGCCAGGCAGGAAAAUACCACGGAAAAAUGAGCAAUGAAAUCUUCCCUUCUCCAUUUACCAUCCCUGCUCCUUUCUGCCUCCUGGAAAGUGGCCCUGGACAAGGCUGGAGUGGUCACCACCUAAUCCAAGGCAUCUCCAACAGGAAAAGGAAGUCGUUAAGAUUUUGGGAGAGAAAGGGUCAAGCUUUGGUUGGACAAUUCCGGAGCAGGAGCGGAUCUGAAUGGGAGCCAGGCUGAGUUUCCUGCUGGGAUGGAGGAAUGAGGCUGGACAGGAGCAUCCAGGAGCCAGGAGAGCAGGGAGACACCGACCUCCUCUUCCAGGCACCGCCGUGUGGGAAACCAGCGGAUUCCCAUCCAAACCCGAGGCUAACCCAGCCCUUCCUGCUCCAGCAGCACCUGGAGCAAACAGCCCCAACAAGCCCUCUCCUUCCCAGGAACAGAAAUAGA